AUGCGGGGCACACACAGGACUUCACAGCUGAACUGUGGCUCAGUUUGGCCUCACUGUGGCUACCUGGUGCUGCAUCCCGGGCUGUAUAACUCUGCUCGGAUGGACAGGAAAGUUUCCCGGGGGCUGGCCCGGGGGCUGCAGCCUCUCCCCAGCAGCUGCCCCCUGCCCACGGCUGCUCUCCCGGCGCGGCACACGGAGCGAUUGGAGGCGAGAUGCGGGGCGCGCUUUCCUGCAGCCCGAUGGCUGCCCCGCUUGGAGAAUUGGCCGGCGUGGGGACUAACGGGGGGACACUGCGCGAUUUCGGCGUGUGGCAGCGCGGCGGAGGAAGGAUGGGGCCCGCGGGGGCGGCCCUCGGGGAACGACCGGCCCCGGAGCUCGCUGCGGGCCCGACGGGGCGGGAGGGCGGCUCUGGGCUGCGGGGGGCGGCCGCCUCGUCGCCCCGUCGGGCCGGACGUGUCCGGCGGUGACACUUACCGGCUGCAGGACCCGCUCCUGCCUCGGCCACGAGCAGGCGGCACUCGGGAGCGCGCCCGGCCCGCGGUCCUGCCGCUGCCGCCCGGGGCCGCCCGGGAGCGCGCCUGGCGGGGCUGGAGCGGGCCGGGCUGGGCCGGGCUAGAAGCGAGCCGGCGUCUUCCCGUUUGUCCGCGCUGUUUGCUUUCACCCGCGUACAGCGAGCUGUCAGCUCGAAUCGUUUCUAACAGCAUCUUUUCAGGAAGCAGGACCCCCCCCAGGCCGUUUCUAAUACCGCAGGGCAGCCUUUCAGUUCGCUCGUCCCCUAGAUUAGUUUGGAAGGCCUUAAAACCUGUAAAAAUAAACGAUGCAUCAAACAAGUUUACAAACGCGCAGAGGUUACACGGCGUGCCGUCGGGCCGGCAAAGCGAGGGACGCCCGGCACUGCCCGGGGAAGCGGGUUGGCUUUCCCAAAAUCCCAGCGGCGGCCGUCCCGAGCAGUUUGGGGCCCCUCGCGGCCCGGGCACAGCCCCCGGGGGGCACCGCAGGUGCUAA
rnacentral:lncRNA from 1 species